rnacentral:rRNA from 1 species
GACGAACGCUGGCGGCGUGCCUAAUACAUGCAAGUAGAACGCUGAAGGAGGAGCUUGCUUCUCUGGAUGAGUUGCGAACGGGUGAGUAACGCGUAGGUAACCUGCCUGGUAGCGGGGGAUAACUAUUGGAAACGAUAGCUAAUACCGCAUAAGAGUAGAUGUUGCAUGACAUUUGCUUAAAAGGUGCAAUUGCAUCACUACCAGAUGGACCUGCGUUGUAUUAGCUAGUUGGUGAGGUAACGGCUCACCAAGGCAACGAUACAUAGCCGACCUGAGAGGGUGAUCGGCCACACUGGGACUGAGACACGGCCCAGACUCCUACGGGAGGCAGCAGUAGGGAAUCUUCGGCAAUGGACGGAAGUCUGACCGAGCAACGCCGCGUGAGUGAAGAAGGUUUUCGGAUCGUAAAAGCUCUGUUGUAAAGGAGAAAGAAACGGAGUGUG